AUGUCCGGCGUCCCGCGCCCGCGCAUGCCAACCUCGCCUCUGGAGCCCACCACAGCCAUCGAGCCUCCUCCUCUCUGUAGCCAUCCCUUGGCAUCUGUCGUGCUCCCACCACGACAGUUGGCGCCCACCAUGGGGCAGCUCGAGGAGCUGGCCGGGAGCAUGCUUCAGACGGGGCCCUUGUCCUACACCGACGAGUCCGUCACGCUGGCGGACAACAUCGGUGGCGCGCUCGCCGCCUCCUUCGCCGCGUUCCGCAUCUCCAAUGCGAUCGCGGCCGAUGAGUACCCCAGCGAGGUGCUCAACUACUCCGACUCUCCCCUCUCCCUCGGCGGUGGCAUUGUCGCCGGGGCGAUGGAUGUCCAUGUGGAGGUUUACGUCACCGGCAAUGGCGCCUCUUCCUCGUCGAGCAAGACGAGGAAGGCCGUGGAAGCCAGGGCCACCGUGGAAUAG
rnacentral:rRNA from 1 species